CCCCAGCCCCCAGCCCUCAGCCCUGGCCCUGGCCCGACCUCCGGCAUUGCUCCGCGGCUGGAAGCGCAAUGCCGUUCUUACUGUGCUCCACUGUGCCAAUUAACAAGCCAUUCGGCGAUGGAUCCGCAAAGAUCUCCAGGGCAACGACCAGGUCCUGCUCUACCCGAUUCUCAGCUUUGGGGAUAGAAUUCCCAGAAACUUCUGUGUUCGGAGUUAGUUCCUUACAGUGGGUUCUUAGUCUGGCUGACUUCAAGAAUGAAGCCUCAGCCCUUCGUGUUUCAGGCUGAAGACAAUGAAAAUCCGUGCCAGACUUGGAUUGGAAGAAAGAACCAAGGCUUUGAGUCUCAUCGUCUCAUUUCUGUUUUGAUACAUGUUUUCUUAGUUUGUAAGCCAAGGAGAGGACUAUAGUGAGGAUUGUGGAGGGAAGUGGACCUUAUUGGUCUUUAAGCUCUCACAUCUUUAAAGACUGUUGGUGCUGAGAGAAAAAGUAUCCUCAUCUGGCAGAACUCCCAUAGGGUGUGCUCCCCUUGCUGUUCUGCUUUUGUUUUGCAGAAAGCUGCCUUUUCAAUGUACUCAUUAGGCUUUCACUGUUUUUUCCUUUUUUCCUUUUUCAUCUUUCACUGUUGAUAUCACAGGUGGCCAUAUCUUUACCAGUGCAGCUACCAAAUAAGAAAUCAUCUUUUCCACAUUCACUAGCUAGUGAUAGUUGUACUACCAUGAAAUCAGUUUCUUCUUUACUUUUAUUUAGGUUACAAGAUUUCUGGAAGGUGUUAAGAUCGAUUUUAAUUAGUCUUUGUGACUGGUUACUUCAUCCAGGGGAGUAAUUUCUCUUUGGAAUAUUAGCUCCACACCCCUGGAGAGUCUGUGCGGCUGCAUCUUCGUCUGGAGUUGGUUCUGGAGUUGGUUCCUUCCGGUGGGUUCCUGGUCUCUCUUACUUCAAGAAUGAAGCCACGGACCUUUGCAGUGAGUGUUACAGCUCUUAAAGGUGGCAUGGACCCAAAGAGUGAGCAGCAGCAGGAUUCAUUGUAAAGAGUGAAAGAACACAACUUCCACAGCGUGGAAGGGGACCUGAGGGGGU